UACGAAGGGGGCUAGCGUUGUUCGGAAUUACUGGGCGUAAAGCGCACGUAGGCGGUGUUCUUUGUCAGAGGUGAAAGCCCGGGGCUCAACUCCGGAAUUGCCUUUGAAACGGGAACGCUAGAGUCCGAGAGAGGAUGGCGGAAUUCCUAGUGUAGAGGUGAAAUUCGUAGAUAUUGGGAAGAACACCGGUGGCGAAGGCGGCGACCUGGUCCUUGACUGACGCUGAGGCGCGAAAGCGUGGGGAGCAAACAGG
rnacentral:rRNA from 1 species